rnacentral:rRNA from 1 species
UACGUAGGGUGCAAGCGUUGUCCGGAAUUAUUGGGCGUAAAGAGCUCGUAGGCGGUUUGUUGCGUCGGCUGUGAAAUCCCGAGGCUCAACCUCGGGUCUGCAGUCGAUACGAGCAAACUAGAGUGUUGCAGGGGAGACUGGAAUUCCUGGUGUAGCAGUGAAAUGCGCAGAUAUCAGGAGGAACACCGGUGGCGAAGGCGGGUCUCUGGGCAACAACUGACGCUGAGGAGCGAAAGCGUGGGGAGCGAACAGG